AUUGAACGCUGGCGGCAUGCCUUACACAUGCAAGUCGAACGGUAACAGGUCUUCGGAUGCUGACGAGUGGCGAACGGGUGAGUGAUACAUCGGAACGUGCCUAGUAGUGGGGGAUAACUACUCGAAAGAGUGGCUAAUACCGCAUGAGAUCUACGGAUGAAAGCAGGGGAUCGAAAGACCUCUUGAUACUAGAGAGGCCGAUGGCAGAUUAGGUAGUGGGUGGGAUAAAAGCUUACCAAGCCGACGAUCUGUAGCUGGUCUGAGAGGACGAUCAGCCACACUGGGACUGAAACACGGCCCAGACUCCUACGGGAGGCAGCAGUGGGGAAUUUUGGACAAUGGGCGAAAGCCUGAUCCAGCAAUGCCGCGUGCAGGAUGAAGGCCUUCGGGUUGUAAACUGCUUUUGUACGGAACGAAAAGCCCUGGGUUAAUACCCUGGGGUCAUGACGGUACCGUAAGAAUAAGCACCGGCUAACUACGUGCCAGCAGCCGCCGUAAAAC
rnacentral:rRNA from 1 species